UUUAAGAAGAAAACCCUAAUUGUUGAAGUGUCUCUCUUUUCUCCUCCCUCGAGCAGCUUUCUCUCUUCUUUUCCUCCAUUCCGUCCUCUCUCAACCAUGAAAUCCUAACCGUUUUCUCAUGUUUUCUUUGUAGUUUUUCAGUUUCGUCUUCCUCUUCAAUGGAUUCUCGGUAUCGUUCAUAAACUAACAGAUUAAUGUGUUGGAUAUAUGGAAUCAAAAAUAAAUUUCUAUUUAAUUUUUUGUAUAAAUCCUUGGAGGUAUAAUGCAAAUCUUUAAAGUACCAUCACAGAUUGAACUCAGUCAAGGUUUGUGUUUGGCCUAAUUUGUUUAUUGUGAAUUGAAAAACUAAAAUGCAUUUCAUGCUUUGUGUUUGACCUAAUGGAGAUUUAUGGAAACAACAAGAUUUGUAUUAAUUGAUUAUUUUAGAUUUAGAUGUUGACUAAUGUAAAACAUUAUAUUGUAAAAUCAUAUAAUGCAAUUACACCAUAUUUGUAUUCCUUA